GACGAACGCUGGCGGCGUGCUUAACACAUGCAAGUCGAACGGAAAGGCCCUGCUUUUGUAGGGUGCUCGAGUGGCGAACGGGUGAGUAACACGUGAGUAACCUGCCCUUGACUUUGGGAUAACUUCAGGAAACUGGGGCUAAUACCGGAUAGGAGCUCCUGCUGCAUGGUGGGGGUUGGAAAGUUUCGGCGGUUGGGGAUGGACUCGCGGCUUAUCAGCUUGUUGGUGGGGUAGUGGCUUACCAAGGCUUUGACGGGUAGCCGGCCUGAGAGGGUGACCGGCCACAUUGGGACUGAGAUACGGCCCAGACUCCUACGGGAGGCAGCAGUGGGGAAUAUUGCACAAUGGGCGGAAGCCUGAUGCAGCAACGCCGCGUGCGGGAUGACGGCCUUCGGGUUGUAAACCGCUUUCGCCUGUGACGAAACGUGAGUGACGGUAAUGGGUAAAGAAGCACCGGCUAACUACGUG
rnacentral:rRNA from 1 species